GGGCAAGCCGCCGCCGCCAC
rnacentral:miRNA from 1 species